UACGUAGGGCGCAAGCGUUGUCCGGAAUUAUUGGGCGUAAAGAGCUCGUAGGCGGUCUGUUACGUCCGCUGUGAAAACCCAGGGCUUAACCCUGGGCUUGCAGUGGAUACGGGUAGACUAGAGGCAGGUAGGGGAGAAUGGAAUUCCCGGUGUAGCGGUGAAAUGCGCAGAUAUCGGGAGGAACACCGGUGGCGAAGGCGGUUCUCUGGGCCUGACCUGGACGCUGAGGAGCGAAAGCGUGGGGAGCGAACAGG
rnacentral:rRNA from 1 species